rnacentral:tRNA from 1 species
GGACGGUGAGCUCAGUUGGUUAGAGCAGACGGCUCAUAACCGUCCGGUCGUAGGUUCGAGUCCUACAAGGUCCA